UACGUAGGGUGCGAGCGUUGUCCGGAAUUAUUGGGCGUAAAGGGCUCGUAGGCGGUUUGUCGCGUCGGGAGUGAAAAUCCAGGGCUUAACUCUGGACUGGCUUUCGAUACGGGCAGACUAGAGGUAUGCAGGGGAGAACGGAAUUCCUGGUGUAGCGGUGAAAUGCGCAGAUAUCAGGAGGAACACCGGUGGCGAAGGCGGUUCUCUGGGCAUGAUCUGACGCUGAGGAGCGAAAGCGUGGGGAGCGAACAGG
rnacentral:rRNA from 1 species